rnacentral:rRNA from 1 species
GACGAACGCUGGCGGCGUGCUUAACACAUGCAAGUCGAGCGGUAAGGCCCCUUCGGGGGUACACGAGCGGCGAACGGGUGAGUAACACGUGGGUGACCUGCCCUCAGCUCUGGGAUAAGCCUGGGAAACCGGGUCUAAUACUGGAUAUGACUCCAUGACGCAUGUUGUGGGGUGGAAAGCCUUGUGCGGCUGAGGAUGGGCCCGCGGCCUAUCAGCUUGUUGGUGGGGUGANGGCCUACCAAGGCGACGACGGGUAGCCGGCCUGAGAGGGCGACCGGCCACACUGGGACUGAGACACGGCCCAGACUCCUACGGGAGGCAGCAGUGGGGAAUCUUGCGCAAUGGGCGAAAGCCUGACGCAGCGACGCCGCGUGAGGGAUGACGGCCUCGG